rnacentral:rRNA from 1 species
GAUGAACGCUGGCGGCGUGCUUAACACAUGCAAGUCGAACGGGAAUUAUUUUAUUGAAACUUCGGUCGAUUUAAUUUAAUUCUAGUGGCGGACGGGUGAGUAACGCGUGGGUAACCUGCCUUAUACAGGGGGAUAACAGUCAGAAAUGUCUGCUAAUACCGCAUAAGCGCACAGAGCUGCAUGGCUCAGUGUGAAAAACUCCGGUGGUAUAAGAUGGACCCGCGUUGGAUUAGCUGGUUGGUGGGGUAACGGCCCACCAAGGCGACGAUCCAUAGCCGGCCUGAGAGGGUGAACGGCCACAUUGGGACUGAGACACGGCCCAGACUCCUACGGGAGGCAGCAGUGGGGAAUAUUGCACAAUGGGGGAAACCCUGAUGCAGCGACGCCGCGUGAAGGAAGAAGUAUCUCGGUAUGUAAACUUCUAUCAGCAGGGAAGAUAGUGACGGUACCUGACUAAGAAGCCCCGGCUAACUACGUG